ACUCCUACGGGAGGCAGCAGUGGGGAAUAUUGCACAAUGGGCGCAAGCCUGAUGCAGCCAUGCCGCGUGUGUGAAGAAGGCCUUGGGUUGUAAAGCACUUUCAGUCGUGAGGAAGGUAGUGUAGUUAAUAGCUGCAUUAUUUGACGUUAGCGACAGAAGAAGCACCGGCUAACUCCGUGCCAGCAGCCGCGGUAAUACGGAGGGUGCGAGCGUUAAUCGGAAUUACUGGGCGUAAAGCGCAUGCAGGUGGUUUGUUAAGUCAGAUGUGAAAGCCCGGGGCUCAACCUCGGAAUAGCAUUUGAAACUGGCAGACUAGAGUACUGUAGAGGGGGUAGAAUUUCAGGUGUAGCGGUGAAAUGCGUAGAGAUCUGAAGGAUACCGGUGGCGAAGGCGGCCCCUGGACAGAUACUGACACUCAGAUGCGAAAGCGUGGGAGCAAACAGGAUUAGAUACCCCUGGUAGCGACUGA
rnacentral:rRNA from 1 species